rnacentral:lncRNA from 1 species
GCGCUUCCGGGAGCUCGUCCUCCCCCCUCCCCCGGCAGAGCGAGCGCAGGGAAGCGGCCGGGCGCGGCGCGGCUCGGGCGCAGGCGGAGGCGGAGGCGGAGGCGGAGCCGGAGCCGGCGGGGCGGAGGGCUGAGCCCACCCGGCCGGGGAAAGCUACAGGACCCAGGAUCCUUGCAGUUAUGGCUGGCUGGCUGCUCUUUUACUCUGGGGCCCCAGCAUUGGUUAUGCUGUAAUUUCAUGGGACUGAAAACAAAAAAAGGAGAGCCUUUUGUUCGU